rnacentral:rRNA from 1 species
GACGAACGCUGGCGGCGUGCCUAAUACAUGCAAGUAGAACGCUGAAGACUUUAGCUUGCUAAAGUUGGAAGAGUUGCGAACGGGUGAGUAACGCGUAGGUAACCUGCCUACUAGCGGGGGAUAACUAUUGGAAACGAUAGCCAAUACCGCAUAACAGCAUUUAACCCAUGUUAGAUGCUUGAAAGGAGCAAUUGCUUCACUAGUAGAUGGACCUGCGUUGUAUUAGCUAGUUGGUGAGGUAACGGCUCACCAAGGCGACGAUACAUAGCCGACCUGAGAGGGUGAUCGGCCACACUGGGACUGAGACACGGCCCAGACUCCUACGGGAGGCAGCAGUAGGGAAUCUUCGGCAAUGGGGGCAACCCUGACCGAGCAACGCCGCGUGAGUGAAGAAGGUUUUCGGAUCGUAAAGCUCUGUUGUAAGAGAAGAACGUGUGUGAGAGUGGAAAGUUCACACAGUGACGGUA